rnacentral:rRNA from 1 species
UACGUAGGGUGCAAGCGUUAAUCGGAAUUACUGGGCGUAAAGCGUGCGCAGGCGGUUUUGUAAGGCUGACGUGAAAUCCCCGGGCUCAACCUGGGAAUUGCGUUGGAGACUGCAAGGCUGGAGUCUGGCAGAGGGGGGUAGAAUUCCACGUGUAGCAGUGAAAUGCGUAGAGAUGUGGAGGAACACCGAUGGCGAAGGCAGCCCCCUGGGUCAAGACUGACGCUCAUGCACGAAAGCGUGGGGAGCAAACAGG